GGCGUUGGUCGCCGGGAGGCCGCCGCUGCUGCUGCUGGCGGUCAUGGUCGCGCCGACGGCCAGGUUGGUGUUCGGGUCGGCGCCGGUGCCG
rnacentral:tRNA from 1 species